AAGGAAAAACGAAAAAAGAAACAUUGCCAUUUUUUUGGUAAAAAGUAAAAAAAACUGAAAGAAAGAGAACACAAAAUUGUUUGCAAAAGCCGUCCUUUAUUGAUGAUAAAAAUAAUUGUGAAACGUAACUAAAUGGAUGGCCCUACAAAUGAGCCGUUACACCUUGGGCAAAGUGUAAGACUUUGUUAUGCAUGUAAUAAAGGAAAACAAUAAAAAUCACUCUUUCAGUAGAAUAACCCGAACGGUUUUU
rnacentral:lncRNA from 1 species